AUGAGGAGUGUGACACUUUGAUCCUAAACUUUAAUAAUUGUAAUUUCUAUCUGGAAUUUAUGAUAUUGUUGCAAUAAAGUGCUGCAGUGUAAUUUUAUUUGUUGAAUGAUAAUGUGUAACUAAUGUGACAGUAAUAUAGUAUCUUCAUUAUUUUUACGUAUGUUAUCAAUUAUAAUACUGUUAUUUUACUGCCACAUCAAUCAUAAUACUAUUACAUCGGAUUAUUGAGAUCUGAUAUCACAAAUUUUUCUUUCUUUCUUUUCCAUCAAAUAUGAGAUUAUUGGGGUGUCACUAAUUUUUUUUUCUUUCCAUCAAAUGUGGGA
rnacentral:lncRNA from 1 species